ACCAGCAUGGUGCAGUGGUUGGAACAUUGGACUAGAAUGCUGGAGACCAGGGUUCGAAUCCUGGUUCUGCCA